GGCCUGAUAGUUCAGUGGUAGAAUUCUUGCUUUGGGAUCUGAAUGUAAGAGGUCUCCGGUUCGAUCCCGGAUUAGGCCC
rnacentral:tRNA from 2 species